rnacentral:rRNA from 1 species
AACGAACGCUGGCGGCGUGGAUUAGGUAUGCAAGUCGAACGGGGAAAGCUUUCGGGUGAGUACUAGUGGCGCACGGGUGAGGAACGCGUGGAUAAUCUGCCUUAGAGUGGGGGAUAACUAGUCGAAAGAUUAGCUAAUACCGCAUAAGACCACAGGAGCUGCGGCUCAAGGGGUCAAAGGUUUUUCGCUCUAAGAUGAGCCCGCGGCUGAUUAGCUUGUUGGUGAGGUAACGGCUCACCAAGGCGACGAUCAGUAGCCGAGCUGAGAGGCUGACCGGCCACACUGGGACUGAGACACGGCCCAGACUCCUACGGGAGGCAGCAGUGGGGAAUCUUGCGCAAUGGGCGAAAGCCUGACGCAGCAACGCCGCGUGCGGGAUGAAGGCUCUCGGGUCGUAAACCGCUUUCAGCAGGGACGAAAUCGGACGGUACCUGCAGAAGAAGCCCCGGCUAAAUACGUGCCAGCAGCCGCUGUAA